rnacentral:rRNA from 1 species
AUGGUCCAACUACAGAACUUCUUCUUUUUCAUUACUUCCAUGGUCGUGCCCCGUGGCACGGCAGCACCCGUACUAUUGAAAUGGUUCGUCAGUAGAGAUGUUCCCACUGGUGCCUCUUCUUCCAAUGGUACUUUAAUUCCUAUUCCUAUCCCUUUAUUCCCUUUUUUGGUCUAUCUACAUUUAAGGAAAUUCAUACGCUCCAUGGACAGAGCAAAAAGUGGAGUGUUGGUCAAAGCAAGCCGCCCUAUUCUAUUACCAGACAAAAUGGAGAGAAGCUCAUCCGCUAGAAAUGCUUUAUUUCGUUUAGUUCCCGUUCUUCAUUUCCUUAUUAUCGAAUCCAUGGGGGACUUGUCAUAUUUAGAAUCUUUCUGCGGUCUGCUCUGUUUACAAUUCUUUCGUACUCUCUUCUCUUUACCACGCGAUAGGUCAGCGAAGCGUGAGCGGGUGCUCCGAAGUAAAGGCCAAACACUUCGGCCUAAGGGGAAUGAGCAACAAAAUGACAAGAUGAGGUGCCCCGGGCACCCCCAUAUAGAAAGAAGGGUCGAAGGUUUUGGGCCUGUAGCUUUCCCCGCCCCCCCCUCGUCGAGUGGUGCUUGUUUGGGGGGUGUGCCACCAGAAAGCGGGCUUGAAGCUCUCGCCUUACCAACGAGCCGAUUGCUGAUGGCUGUUGGUCACGACUACUACAAAAAAGUGAAGAUGAAUCUUUCUAUUUCACAUGGAGGAGUGUGCAUCUUUAUGUUGGGUGUUCUUCUGUCGUGCGACCCGAUGGCUUAUGUGCGACCUGUGGCCCACGCCUCCUAUUCUAUUUGUUCAGGGCGGGCGGCGUGA